rnacentral:sRNA from 1 species
UGAAACCCAAUGGGGACUGAAGUUCUCUCUCUAUCCACAGAACAGAUACAGCAUGGGAAGAGACCGUGCAAUGUCUCAGUUUGCCUAAAUCCUGACCUAGAGGGACAACCAUUAAGAAUAAGAGGUUAGUUCCGGAUCUAUUCAGCUGUGAUUUUG